CGAGUGAAGCGGCAAGAGCUCAAAUUUGAAAGCUGGCUCCUUCGGGGUCCGCAUUGUAAUUUGCAGAGGAUGCUUCGGGAGCGGUCCCCAUCUAAGUGCCCUGGAACGGGACGUCAUAGAGGGUGAGAAUCCCGUAUGGGAUGGGGUGUCCGCGCCCGUGUGAAGCUCCUUCGACGAGUCGAGUUGUUUGGGAAUGCAGCUCUAAAUGGGUGGUAAAUUUCAUCUAAAGCUAAAUAUUGGCCGGAGACCGAUAGCGCACAAGUAGAGUGAUCGAAAGAUGAAAAGCACUUUGAAAAGAGAGUUAAAAAGCACGUGAAAUUGUUGAAAGGGAAGCGCUUGCGACCAGACUCGCUCGCGGGGUUCAGCCGGCAUUCGUGCCGGUGUACUUCCCCGCGGGCGGGCCAGCGUCGGUUUGGGCGGUCGGUCAAAGGCCCUCGGAAGGUAACGCCCCUAGGGGCGUCUUAUAGCCGAGGGUGCAAUGCGACCUGCCUAGACCGAGGAACGCGCUUCGGCUCGGACGCUGGCAUAAUGGUCGUAAGCGACCCGUCUUGAAACACGGACCAAGGAGUCUAACAUCUACGCGAGUGUUCGGGUGUCAAACCCGUGCGCGAAGUGAAAGCGAACGGAGGUGGGAACCCUUACGGGUGCACCAUCGACCGAUCCUGAAGUCUUCGGAUGGAUUUGAGUAAGAGCGUAGCUGUUGGGACCCGAAAGAUGGUGAACUAUGCCUGAAUAGGGCGAAGCCAGAGGAAACUCUGGUGGAGGCUCGUAGCGGUUCUGACGUGCAAAUCGAUCGUCGAAUUUGGGUAUAGGGGCG
rnacentral:rRNA from 1 species